rnacentral:rRNA from 1 species
ACGGGUGAGUAAUGCAUCGGAACGUGCCCUGAAGUGGGGGAUAACGCAGCGAAAGCUACGCUAAUACCGCAUAUUCUGUGAGCAGGAAAGCAGGGGAUCGCAAGACCUUGCGCUUUGGGAGCGGCCGAUGUCGGAUUAGCUAGUUGGUGGGGUAAAGGCCUACCAAGGCGACGAUCCGUAGCGGGUCUGAGAGGAUGAUCCGCCACACUGGGACUGAGACACGGCCCAGACUCCUACGGGAGGCAGCAGUGGGGAAUUUUGGACAAUGGGCGGAAGCCUGAUCCAGCCAUGCCGCGUGAGUGAAGAAGGCCUUCGGGUUGUAAAGCUCUUUCGGCGGGGAAGAAAUUGCUUGGGUUAAUACCCUGAGUAGAUGACGGUACCCGAAUAAGAAGCACCGGCUAACUACGUGCCAGCAGCCGCGGUAAUACGUAGGGUGCGAGCGUUAAUCGGAAUUACUGGGCGUAAAGCGUGCGCAGGCGGUUUUGUAAGUCAGAUGUGAAAUCCCCGGGCUCAACCUGGGAACUGCAUUUGAGACUGCAAGACUGGAGUUUGGCAGAGGGGGGUGGAAUUCCACGUGUAGCAGUGAAAUGCGUAGAGAUGUGGAGGAACACCGAUGGCGAAGGCAGCCCCCUGGGCCAAUACUGACGCUCAUGCACGAAAGCGUGGGGAGCAAACAGGAUUAGGUACCCUGGUAGUCCACGCCCUAAACGAUGUCAACUAGGUGUUGGGAGGGUUAAACCUUUUAGUGCCGUAGCUAACGCGUGAAGUUGACCGCCUGGGGAGUACG